GCCUAGGUGGUGCAAAUGGUUAACACUGUCAGCUGCUAACUGGAAGGCUGGAGGUUUGAAUCCACCCAGAGGUG
rnacentral:tRNA from 1 species